GGGAAAAUAAGGAAAGAUUACCCAUCUGUUCAACUGACUUCAUGGAGGUUUUGGCCUAUAGUUGGUUGGAUAAACUACCAAUAUAUGCCUCUGCAGCUGCGUGUUCUAUUCCACAGCUUUAUUGCCUCAUGCUGGGCUGUGUUUCUGAAUCUAAAAGCACAAUCCGGUGCUGCUAAGGAGGCUUAAUAUGAAGAUUAGUAUUUUGCUUUAUACUGCAAAGGAGCUGUUAGGGUUCCUUUGUGCACCGUGUUAUAGUGUUAUGUCAGCUAUGACAAAUAAUGUGUUCGUUUGAUAUCCCAGUCUUGCAUUUGCAACCAGUGUCGCCUCGUGCUAUGCGAAGCUUAAAUAGAUUACACUGAGGUCCUUUUUCUUUAAACAAAUGAAAAACAAUAAAGAGGAUGAUCCAAGUUUACAGCAAGAUAUUCUACUUCAGUGUGUACAUGAGGUGUUUUAGAGUUUGAGAUAUGUAUACACUACUCCUUGUAAUCUAAGCAUUGAGAAGUUCAAAAACAAAAAAAGAACAAGGGGUUGUUCUUUUGGAUGAA